UGGGGGAUAUUGCACAAUGGGCGAAAGCCUGAUGCAGCGACGCCGCGUGGGGGAUGAAGGCUUUCGGGUUGUAAACCUCUUUCGCUAUCGAACAAGGCCCGCUUAGGGUGGGUUGAGGGUAGGUGGAGAAGAAGCGCCGGCUAACUACGUGCCAGCAGCCGCGGUAAUACGUAGGGCGCGAGCGUUGUCCGGAAUUAUUGGGCGUAAAGGGCUUGUAGGCGGCUUGUUGCGCCUGCUGUGAAAACGCGGGGCUUAACUUCGCGCGUGCAGUGGGUACGGGCAGGCUUGAGCGUGGUAGGGGUGACUGGAAUUCCAGGUGUAGCGGUGGAAUGCGCAGAUAUCUGGAGGAACACCGAUGGCGAAGGCAGGUCACUGGGCCAUUACUGACGCUGAGGAGCGAAAGCAUGGGUAGCGAACAGG
rnacentral:rRNA from 1 species